rnacentral:rRNA from 1 species
AAGGUAAUAAUCCUGUAGUUGAAAAUAUAUUCUCUCUUGAGUGGAUCCUGAGUACGACGGAGCACGUGAAAUUCCGUCGGAAUCUGGGAGGACCAUCUCCUAAGGCUAAAUACUCUCUAGUGACCGAUAGUGAACCAGUACCGUGAGGGAAAGGUGAAAAGUACCCCGGAAGGGGAGUGAAAGAGAACUUGAAACCGUGUGCUUACAAGUAGUCAGAGCCCGUUAAUGGGUGAUGGCGUGCCUUUUGUAGAAUGAACCGGCGAGUUACGAUCUGAUGCAAGGUUAAGCAGAAAAUGUGGAGCCGUAGCGAAAGCGAGUCUGAAUAGGGCGUAUAGUAUUUGGUCGUAGACCCGAAACCAGGUGAUCUACCCAUGGUCAGGUUGAAGUUCAGGUAACACUGAAUGGAGGACCGAACCGACUUACGUUGAAAAGUGAGCGGAUGAACUGUGGGUAGCGGAGAA